GUAGCAUUCCACUUCCAUCUCAAAAAUUGACCUCACAGAAUUUUCUGUUGCCUUUAUUUCCUUUGUUGGCUGACCUGUAUCCCUUCUGUAUCCAUGUACACCCCAAAAAAAAAAGAGCUCCUCUUUUAUUGUUCCUUACAAGUCUAGUUAUUCCUGUGAUGCUUCACACUUUUACAGAUGCAAAGGAACUUCCUAAAGCAAAAAGAAGAUAAAGCAGAAAAUGUUGAGCAUCCUGUUCAGAUCCUCUGGUAGAUUUGGAUCAAGUCCUUUCCUUUCGUGCUAAUUUAUUUUUUCCACUUAUGAAUAUGUUAUCAGGUUACGGAAGGUCGAAGCUGAUUUCAUCUGUAAUGUUGUUUGUGUAACUAAAUGAUAUUGGUUUGUUUUUUCCAACAUCUUUCUUCACAUGUAUAAUAAUAUUCUUAGUAUAGUUGUG
rnacentral:lncRNA from 1 species